GGGAAUGUGGUUCAGUGGUAGAGUGCUUGCCUAGCAUGCAUGAAGCCCUGGGUUCGAUUCCUCAGUACCA
rnacentral:tRNA from 1 species